rnacentral:rRNA from 1 species
CGAACGCGGACCAGGCCAGUGAUACAUCAAAGACAAUCGGAACCAGUCAGGAAAGCUGGGCCUCAGAGGGUGAUAGCCCCGUACGAGUAAUGCGAUGAUGUAUCCACGAGUAAGGCGGGACACGUGCAAUCCUGUCUGAACGCGGGGGGACCACCCUCCAAGCCUAAGUACUCCUCAGCGACCGAUAGUGAACCAGUACCGUGAGGGAAAGGUGAAAAGCACCCCGACGAGGGGAGUGAAAUAGACCUGAAACCGGACACCUACAAACAGAUGGAGCCCAAGAUUCGUUCUGGGUGACAUCGUACCUUUUGUAUUAUGGGCCAGCGACUUAAUUUAACGAGCAAGCUUAAGCCGAUAGGCGAAGGCGUAGCGAAAGCGAGUCUGAAU